AGUGCCUCAGUACGGCGAGUGAAGCGGCAACAGCUCAAAUUUGAAAUCUGGCCGCAAGGUCCGAGUUGUAAUUUGCAGAGGAUGCUUUUGGCGAGGUGCCUUCCGAGUUCCCUGGAACGGGACGCCAUAGAGGGUGAGAGCCCCGUACGGUUGGACCACCGAGCCUCUGUAAAGCUCCUUCGACGAGUCGAGUAGUUUGGGAAUGCUGCUCUAAAUGGGAGGUGUACGUCUUCUAAAGCUAAAUACCGGCCAGAGACCGAUAGCGCACAAGUAGAGUGAUCGAAAGAUGAAAAGCACUUUGAAAAGAGGGUUAAAAAGUACGUGAAAUUGUUGAAAGGGAAGCGUUUAUGACCAGACUUGGGCUUGGUUGAACAUCCGGCGUUCUCGCCGGUGCACUCUGCCAGUCCAGGCCAGCAUCAGUUUGUCCCGGGGGAUAAAGGCGGUGGGAAUGUGGCUCCCCCGGGAGUGUUAUAGCCCGCCGUGCAAUGCCCUGGGACGGACUGAGGAACGCGCUUCGGCACGGAUGCUGGCGUAAUGGUCAUCAACGACCCGUCUUGACCGGGACCA
rnacentral:rRNA from 1 species